rnacentral:rRNA from 2 species
AGAUUUCUUCGGAAUGAAGUUUUAGUGACUGAGUGGCGGACGGGUGAGUAACGCGUGGGUAACCUGCCUCACACAGGGGGAUAACAGUUGGAAACGGCUGCUAAUACCGCAUAAGCGCACAGUACCGCAUGGUACGGUGUGAAAAACUCCGGUGGUACAAGAUGGACCCGCGUCUGAUUAGCUAGUUGGUGAGGUAACGGCCCACCAAGGCGACGAUCAGUAGCCGGUCUGAGAGGAUGAACGGCCACACUGGAACUGAGACACGGUCCAGACUCC